UACCCGCAGCACAAGUGGUGGUCAUUAUUAUUGGGCCUAAAGCGUCCGUAGCUGGCGUGUUAGAUGCCUGGGUAAAUCGAUGCGCUCAACGUAUCGAAUUCCGGGUAGACCGGCACGCUCGAGACCGGGAGAGGUGUAGGGUACUCGGGGGGUAGGGGUAAAAUCCUGUAAUCCUCCGGGGACGACCAGUGGCGAAGGCGCUACACUAGAACGGCUCUGACAGUGAGGGACGAAGCCCUGGGGCGCAAACCGG
rnacentral:rRNA from 1 species